rnacentral:lncRNA from 1 species
UUGUCUCUCUGAGCUUGCCUCUUCAGACACAAGCAAAUUAUCACUACUCUCCUCCCCCAUCACCAACACCAUCCAAGGAACACCCUUACCCAUACAAGUCUCCACCACCACCACCUCCUCAUGUUUACUACUAUAAAUCACCACCACCACCACCACCACCUCAUCAUGUCUACAAGUAUAAGUCACCACCACCACCUCCUUACCACUAUGUAUCACCACCUCCACCUCACCAUGCCUACAAGUAUAAGUCUCCUCCACCACCUCCUUACCACUAUGUAUCACCACCUCCUCCUCAUCAUGCCUACAAGUAUAAAUCUCCACCACCACCCCCUUACCACUAUGUAUCACCACCCCCACCUCAUCAUGUCUACAAGUAUAAAUCUCCACCACCCCCUCAUUACCACCCUGCUCCUGGUUACAAAUACAAGUCACCACCUCCCCCUCAUCAUGUUUACAAGUAUAAAUCCCCACCACCCCCUCGUUACCACCCUGCUCCUGGCUACAAAUACAAGUCACCACCUCCCCCUCAUCAUGCUUACAAGUAUAAAUCCCCACCACCGCCUCAUUACCACCCUGCUCCUGGUUACAAAUACAAGUCACCACCGCCCCCUCAUCAUGUUUACAAGUAUAAAUCUCCACCACCCCCUCAUUACCACCCUGCUCCUGGUUACAAAUACAAGUCACCACCGCCCCCUCAUCAUGUUUACAAGUAUAAGUCUCCACCACCCCCUCCUUACCACUACAAAUCACCACCUCCUCCUCAUCAUGUCUACAAGUACAAAUCUCCACCACCCCCCACCAUCAAAAGCCACCUUGUCCUCCCCCAUCUGUCUAUAAAUAUAAAUCACCACCACCCCCUCCCUACCAUUACAAAUCACCACCCCCACCCCCUCCUGUAUACAAGUAUAAAUCACCACCGCCACCUCCCUACCACUACAAGUCACCACCACCUCCCCAUCCAGUCUACAAGUACAAGUCUCCUCCUCCUCCUCCUCACUAUUAAGCGGCACAACAGCGCCAGCAAAGAGGGUUAGUUAAUUACUUGCAUUUUCUGAGCUAAGAAUAUAGUUAAAAAAAAGUUACUUGAGUAAUAUAUGGAAGUUUCUUGUUCCUUGUGUUUUUUUUUUUCCCCACAUGGGCAAUUUUCCAACAAUGCCACUGGAGUACUACCCCAUUUUUUUAUUUAUUUGGCAGGGAAAAUGAAGACUUCUCCAGAUGGUUGCCAUAUGUAUAUGAACCAGCAUCAAGUGCUGGUUUUGCUAGGGUUAUGAAGAGUAGAAUAAAGCAAUCGAGGUUCCUUCAACAGAAGAAGUGGCCCAAUGUUUCUAGGGGUGAUGUUUCUAUGGAGUGAAUAAAGUUGCUUUCUAUCGUGUAAUGUGGAAGCAUCUGCUUGUUAGCUGGAAAAAGUGGAAAGAGGAGAUAAGCAUAUGUACUCGCUCUUUUCUUCUUUGGAACUGUAUUUUUAUUUGUAUCUUGUCAGAUUGAUCUAUGUAUUUUCUUCAACCCGUCCACUUUGUCAAGUUGCACCCCAAGAGUUAUUACAAUGAUAACUGUACUGGCAAGAAGCAUGUCCAGUUGUUAAUUACAUUUUGCAUUACAAAUUUACAGGCAUGAAGUGAUUAAAAAAUGGUCAUGCAGAGUGAAACGCUCUUAUAUUUAAGGAGUAAUUUGCAACUGAG